AGGAAGUAAGAUCCCUGAAAGAUGAUCAGGUUGAUAGGUCUGAGGUGGAAGUGUGGCGACACAUGGAGCUGACAGAUACUAAUCGAUCGAGGACUUAACCUAA
rnacentral:rRNA from 1 species